rnacentral:lncRNA from 1 species
UUCAAAUAUCAUUUUCCUUAAAAAAAUAUUUAUGUGUAAUAUCGUAUCUGAUAAUGUUAUAUGACAAUAACAACAAACAAAAGCAAGUAAUUGUAAUGGAUGCUCACUUAAAAAAUAUAUUGUAAACAUGCUAGCACUCCAGCAACUUCUCGUAGGUGCAGCCAUUUAAAAAAGCAAUCUCCCCACCGAGAGCAAUCUCCCACUCAAGGAUAGAAACCCUUAUCCACAUCGCCAUUCCUCUAGCAGCGGUGCUCCUUCAUCUUCUCUCUAUCAACAUCCGCCCAUGCAUGGCUUGCCGCCGCCCCGUCCC